rnacentral:lncRNA from 1 species
GCAUGAGUGAGUAAUAGGUGUUCUAGCACUGUCCGCCCACUGGACAAAGACUUCUUGAGAUGCACAUAAUUUUAUGAGAUGCAAAGUGAAUAGGUGAAAACAUGACGGGGCACUGGUUGGGGGUUGGGGGGGGGGGGGGGGGGGGGGCUGCUCGAGACCAGAGCAGAGGCGACAGCUCAGCAUUGUCACAUACUAUAUUUGUUUCGCUGUUUGAUUAGGGGACAGCCUGGUGCACGGAUCUUUGGGGUCGUAUCUAAAGACUGGAACCAGACAGUAUUAUUCAAGAUGGGAAAUAUAAAUAGACGUCGGGUUGACGUGAGGCUACUGUGUUUAAGACUCCUGGUUUAAGAAUAACAGGUGAGAGACACUUGCCAGAUUCAGUUACUUUGGUCAUUUAAAACCUUGUAACCUAACACCUCUUAAUACCGUUUAAAGCAUAAUUUACAAAUCUCACUCCGAGGCAGACGCUGUGUUGUCACUAGCAAUUAAAGAGCCACCCCGUGCGCGGAGUGACAAAAUCAAUGAUUCAACACACUGUGGUGAGUUUAAUAGCCCUGGAGGACACGCAAUGCAAAGAGAGCACUGGGGCUGCAAGCUCUGGAAAAUGAUCCAUAAUGAAUCCACUAGCAGAGCACCAGAGAGGAACACCGGCGUCACACGGCCAGCGUCCCGGCCUUGUUAGGCGGACGAGAGCCUGUCGCCUGAUAGGAACCGGAGCCGGGCCGUGACGUCAUCAGACUGCUGUCUGCUCGCAGUGGCCUCGUGCUGCUGCGGAGUUUGGGCUUAUGUGAGUGAACAUUAUAAAUAGUGAGAAGGGUGUCAGCUCCGUUCAAGGGAGCCCUGCAUGAAGUGUCAGGCUGUUCUGGUGAGAGCGGAUCCGAUUCCCGGCGUACGUGCCGGCUUGUGUGCGCACGCGAGCGAGCGUGUGAGGGCUGAUAAUAGCAGCCCCAUUGGUAUUCAGCGGAGGGAGCUCCGGGAUCGCGCUGCGCCUUUUCCCCGGGACGGGAUCACAGAGCGGGGAUUGUGCUCGCCUGCGGAGAGCGCCCUGGAAUGGAUCCCUGCAGAGGUGGACACCGAGUGGGCAGCGCGGACGCCAGCGUCUACGAGCCGUGAGCCCGCGGAGCUGAAGCCCGGACGAGCCGGAGCCGGAGCCGGAGCGAGGCCGCGGCCGACGAGCCCCUCUAGAGUUGACCUUCCACCAACCAGUCGACCUGUUGAGCUUCGCAGCCAGCCUUUUUGGAGGAAUGAAAUAGAACGCAGUGAUGCCUGAGCAAUGGUACGGCGCUCGUGGACACGUCCGGAUUUAUCGACCGGAUAACUUAUCAAGAUUACGACGCUGUUGUGCACACCUCGGAGCUGGGCCACUUUUCCAUAUUGGCUUGUGGGCAAAAGCGAGUAAUUGAAAAUCCCCCCUCCGGAGGCGCUCGGCGCUGAUUUGUCGUCCUGGGAGGAGGUCCUAUUGUUUUUAGAAACGGAAAAAUAAAAAGCGGAUUUCUUCUUUUUCA